rnacentral:rRNA from 1 species
AUUGAACGCUGGCGGCAGGCCUAACACAUGCAAGUCGAGCGGAUGACGGGAGCUUGCUCCUUGAUUCAGCGGCGGACGGGUGAGGAAUGCCUAGGAAUCUGCCUGGUAGUGGGGGACAACGUUUCGAAAGGAACGCUAAUACCGCAUACGUCCUACGAGAGAAAGCAGGGGACCUUCGGGCCUUGCGCUAUCAGAUGAGCCUAGGUCGGAUUAGCUAGUUGGUGGGGUGAUGGCUCACCAAGGCGACGAUCCGUAACUGGUCUGAGAGGAUGAUCAGUCACACUGGAACUGAGACACGGUCCAGACUCCUACGGGAGGCAGCAGUGGGGAAUAUUGGACAAUGGGCGAAAGCCUGAUCCAGCCAUGCCGCGUGUGUGAAGAAGGUCUUCGGAUUGUAAAGCACUUUAAGUUGGGAGGAAGGGCAGUAAGUUAAUACCUUGCUGUUUUGACGUUACCGACAGAAUAAGCACCGGCUAACUCUGUGCCAGCAGCCGCCGUAA